UACAAAGGAAUUGACGGGGCCCGCACAAGCGGUGAGCAUGUGGUUUAAUUCGACGCAACGCGAAGAACCUUACCUGGAUUUGACAUCCUCUGACCAUUCCGGAAACGGAAUUUUCCGACUUGUCGGAACAGAGUGACAGGUGCUGCAUGGCUGUCGUCAGCUCGUGUCGUGGGAUGUUGGGUUAAAGUCCCGCAACGAGCGCAACCCCUGUCUUUAGUUGCCAGUAUUCAGUUAGGCACUCUAAAGAUACUGCCUCGGUUAACGGGGAGGAAGGUGGGGACGACGUCAAGUCCUCAUGGCCUUUAUAUCCAGGGCUACACACGUGCUACAAUGGGUCGUACAAAGGGUCGCCACUCCGCGAGGAGGAGCUAAUCCCAAAAAGCGGCUCUCAGUUCGGAUCGGAGUCUGCAACUCGACUCCGUGAAGUUGGAAUCGCUAGUAAUCGUGGAUCAGCAUGCCACGGUGAAUACGUUCCCGGGCCUU
rnacentral:rRNA from 1 species